GAAUUUGUCAAUUCAUUUUAGGGUUUUUUUCUAUUUUUGAUUUGUCAAAAGAAUUAGGGACUAUUUGAUUUAGAUCAUUGUUCUAAUCACCAUAUUUUGGGCGGCUGGAAUUAGUGAAAUGAAGGUGAAAUUUUGUUGUUAAUUUUGGUUAAUUCAUCUAACCCAAUAAAAAUUUUAAUUUUGUUGUUAGAUUUCAUUUUAAAGUGUGGCAUUCAUUGCAUUAUCUGUCCAAUUUUAAUUUUUUUCUUCUAUUUUGGAGAAUAGAUCAUUGCAUCUUUGUUGUUGCAAGUAGAUGCUUUAUCAUUGAAUCAAUUAUAUAUCAAUAAAGCAUUGUAAUUUGGCGUGUGCAGUUAUCUAGAAUGCAAUUAGAGAAACCAUUUGAUUUGCUUUAUGAACUUUCUUUCCCUGCAUCAAGUGGCUUUGCAUUGAACGUCUUCAUAAUAACAGAAUGAAUUAGUCCCUUGAUAAGUGAGCAUGAAGUUCCUGAAAGCUAACUGUGUUUAUGCGUGCCCUGAGAUGUGAGUACGCAUGGAUAAACACAUUUAUGUAGCUCAAAGAGCAUGUGUAUGUUUGAUAUAGAUAUCUUGGUAGAGAGAAUCAGUACCAGAGUUGUUGCACACAAGAAUUUUCUACAUAUGCACAUGUGUCGAAUUUGAUAUGCUACAUAUGCACAUGUGUCGAAUUUGAUCAAAGAGAUAAUUUUACCCUAAGUCCCCUAAUUUUUGUAGAGGACGGAAAGCAAGUUGUAAGUGUUUUUGACCUCAGGGCCAAAUAUGUUACCCGACCGUUAAAUUGAUCAGGCUGUUAGGGAAUAUCUCAUAUUCUGUGGGAUAUUCUCUAAUCAGGAUCAGGCGUUACGGAGAAAUCUGAGGAGAACGCGGAUAGCGGAGAAAAAACAGGCGGCUAUUUGGGGACGGAGAAAGAGGUAGAAAGCCUAUAUAUAGAGAGGAUUACCUCACCUCUGAAUCAUCUCAACAGAAAAAAUCUCUAUCGGAGUCCCCAAAAUCAAUCUUUCUCUCGUUCUUUCACAAGUGCCAAGGACUCAGUUUUUUUUGGGGCUCCUCUCUCUGAUCAAUUCAAGUCAAAGCUUCAGUCCUUUGGUGUUCAGGAACAAGGUUAUACUGCAGUCUGGACAGUUUAAAGGAGAAUUGAGAUUUUGGUAAUUUUCGUUGUUGAUGCCAGUGGCAGUAUGACAUUAAACCGUAUGCAAAAUGCUAAAGGUGCAGCAUUGAAACUAUUGGCAGAAAGCUAUACUAGAAGAGAUCAGG